UUUAACAUUUGUUUUUAACAUUUCAGACAGAAGACAUUGGAUUCAUGAAUUUAAUGAUUACCCCCCAUGGGGACUCUCUUGGGAUUCGCAUCACAAGAGUGACCAAAGUCAGGCCCCAUGGAAGCAACAGGCAAGGUACUCGGAAUGGGUUUGUGCAGUUGAUACAGGAUAUGUAUAACCAAUUACUUUUAAUGAUCCUUCCGCAGGUUCACCUACGGAAA
rnacentral:misc_RNA from 1 species